CCUACGGGAGGCAGCAGUGGGGAAUAUUGCACAAUGGGGGAAACCCUGAUGCAGCGACGCCGCGUGAGUGAAGAAGAGUUUCGGCGCGUAAAGCUCUGACAGCGGGGAAGAAACACGGUUCGCGAGAGCCGCGGACGGUACCCGACCAAGAAGCCCCGGCUAACUACGUGCCAGCAGCCGCGGUAAUACGUAGGGUGCAAGCGUUAUCCGGAUUCACUGGGGGUAAAGGGGGCGUAGACGGCGAGACAAGUCUGGAGUGAAAGGCCGGGGGCCAACCCCGGGACUGCUCUGGAAACUGGCUGGCUUGAGUACAGGAGAGGUAAGUGGAAUUCCUAGUGUAGCGGUGAAAUGCGUAGAUAGUAGGAGGAACACCAGUGGCGAAGGCGGCUUACUGGACUGUAACUGACGUUGAGGCUCGAAAGCGUGGGGAGCAAACAGGAUUAGAUACCCGAGUAGUC
rnacentral:rRNA from 1 species